rnacentral:rRNA from 1 species
CCUACGGGAGGCAGCAGUGAGGAAUAUUGGUCAAUGGACGAGAGUCUGAACCAGCCAAGUAGCGUGAAGGAUGACUGCCCUAUGGGUUGUAAACUUCUUUUAUCAAGGAAUAAAACGAGGCACGUGUGCCUUUUUGCAUGUACUUUAUGAAUAAGGAUCGGCUAACUCCGUGCCAGCAGCCGCGGUAAUACGGAGGAUCCGAGCGUUAUCCGGAUUUAUUGGGUUUAAAGGGAGCGUAGAUGGGUUGUUAAGUCAGUUGUGAAAGUUUGCGGCUCAACCGUAAAAUUGCAAUUGAUACUGGCAGUCUUGAGUACAGUUGAGGUAGGCGGAAUUCGUGGUGUAGCGGUGAAAUGCUUAGAUAUCGCGAAGAACCCCGAUUGCGAAGGCAGCUUACUAAGCUGUGACUGACAUUGAUGCACGAAAGUGUGGGUAUCGAACAGGAUUAGAUACCCCAGUAGUC